AAAUAAGAAGCAAUUCCCAUGCAUUUAUUUUCGACUUAAAGGAUAGAGUAAAAUAAUACUCCUUAUUUA
rnacentral:tRNA from 1 species